UUAGAUUGGGGAAUGUGGAUCUGCUGUACCCUAUUGGUAGAGUUUGGUGAAAAAUUAUUGCUCUUGUAGAUGCCCUUUAUCUUUCAGCUUUUCCAAUAAUUAUUUUUGUAGAACUUAAUAGAUAAAAUUGUUUCAUUUUCUAGAUGAUCUCAACCAUUCCCACAUGUUCUUAUGCUUGGUUAUUUGUCCAUUCUUAAUUUAUACUUAAACAAAUGCAUCAAAUGAAGUUUGAUUAUAUCUUAUUUCAGC
rnacentral:lncRNA from 1 species